rnacentral:rRNA from 1 species
UACGAAGGGGCUAGCGUUGUUCGGAAUCACUGGGCGUAAGCGCACGUAGGCGGAUCUUUAAGUCAGAGGUGAAAUCCCAAGGCUCAACCUUGGAACUGCCUUGAUACUGGGGAUCUUGAGUCCGGGAGAGGUGAGUGGACUGCGAGUGUAGAGGUGAAAUUCGUAGAUAUUCGCAAGAACACCAGUGGCGAAGGCGGCUCACUG